CUGCCAAAUAGUUUAAAGAGUCAAAUUGAGUGUGGUAUACCGUAUACUUUGGCUCAAAUACAACAUACAGUAUAAGCAAAAUACUAGAAGUUACUAUCUAGUUAUUACUAAGUUGCCGCGAACGGCCUAUAUUCUUCACCGCAAUUCACCGCCUAAUAAACUAUUUCACCGCAUAAGAUAAGCGCGUGACGACAAUUAGCUAUAGUGUUUAAUUUGACAUAAACUUUCGUUCUCCCUCGGUGGCUUAGUGGUAGGUCGUUUGGACUGUCUCGACAAACCUUUGAGUUCGAAUCGCGUCGAGUUCAUAUUUUCAAUAUUUUUUCCCUUUAUUUCUAUCCAGCUGUUUUUAUUCUUUUUACAUCUUUAUAUGAGAAAUCGCUUUGCAAGUAGUUGGAAAUAUUGGUAUGUUGAGCCUGGCUCGAAGAGAUCCAAUCAUUUCUAACAGAUAAUUCCGUUCGAUAUUAUUUGAGGUGUUUUAUUUCAAC
rnacentral:lncRNA from 1 species